AGGGAUUUUGGGUUUCGCACUUCUUGAAUCAAUUUGGCGCGAGUUAUUUGUUGGGUUAGGUUAGGAGACGUUCAACUACUUAUUUUAAUUAUAAUUUGUUUGUGAAAAAUGAGCCCAAAAAGUAAAAGUAAAAAAAAAACCAUGAAGGACUCUGAGAGAGAAGAAAUACUUUACGACGCACUGCUCCAGAAGUGUUUGAAACAAAACGCCAAUGAUGCACCAGUCGAUUUUGAUGAUAUGUCCGACACCGAGUUGUGCGAUAAGCAUUAUUCUAAUAAAGUAAAAACCUCCAAUCUUACAUCUGAGGAAAAAAAGUUGGUUGAGAAGUUUGAAGUCUCUUUGAAGAGUACUCUACACCGGUGUUGUUUGAGACGCGAAAAGGCGAAAAUUCGGUGCUUUUCUAAGCUAUUUCGCAUGUUUGAUGCGGAAUAUAAAAUGGAGUUAAGACGCUUGUUGUCCUUUGCGAGUCCAGAGGAAAUUGAACAAUAUGUAAAACUUUGUGUAAUCCCUGAUGAUACCGUUAUAGACUUGAUAGAAAAUAAAAUACAGAGUAAGCUCAAGGAAUGUCUUGUAGAGCGUGAGAAGUUAAUACGAAAUUCGAACACAUCCAGAACCUGUGAAAUUCAGACUAUGAAAGAAUGGAAUAUUUUGUUACAGGCUGUUCAAGAAGACGAGCUGGUUGUUUAUGCCCUCCAUGUACUAAAAGAGGCUGGUUACUAAUUUAUUAAUACUAAUUGUUGAGACACUUAAUUUAUUAUCAGUUAUUUGUAUAUUUGUUUAUUUAUUUGCCUUUUUUGCAAAUUGAGGGCACAAACACAGGGGUAUUUUUCUUCAUUUUCACUUUUUGGUUAAAUAGGUACUUGAUGAAAAUUUUCGGGAAGAUCACGUUAUUUUGAUUUUCUCAUUUAAGUAACUUUUUUUGUUGUAUAAUUUUAUUAUUACUUAUCAAAAAUAAAUUGUAUUUUCUUUUCAAA